UUUCUCGUAGCUUAGUGGUCAGAGCAUUAGUACGUAAAGCCAAAGGUCCCGGGAUCGAUUCCCGGCGGGGGUG
rfam:Agrilus planipennis Contig1298, whole genome shotgun sequence.